UAGGGAAUCUUCCACAAUGGACGGCAAGUCUGAUGGAGCAAUGCCGCGUGAGUGAAGAAGGGUUUCGGCUCGUAAAGCUCUGUUGUUAAAGAAGAACGUGGGUAAGAGUAACUGUUUACCCAGUGACGGUAUUUAACCAGAAAGCCACGGCUAACUACGUGCCGG
rnacentral:rRNA from 1 species